AUUGAUCAAGAAAGAAAGAAGUGGUGCUCGUCGACGAAGGAGAUGUUGCCAAAUGAAUCUGAUCUAGCCUAGCAUCCACAACUGUUCACUGUUCACUGUUCACAGUGGACUCCAACUCUGACUCCAAUGGCUGCUGCAACUCUCUCACUCUCCUUCUCCUUAGAUCCACAGCACCAGCUUCCUCACCAUUUCUGCUGCGGAACCCACUUCAAGCCCCAUCAAACGCUUCUCUUCAACUCUCCCACUCCCCUCCCUAAGUACCCACUUCUUCUCAACCCCAAAUCCGACCGUUAUAUCGUCAAAUCUUCAUCUUCAUCUUCGCCGCCUUCUCCUUCAACCACGGCUCCUGACACAGAACCAGAACCAGAACCAGAAUUAGCCUCACCUUACCUCGUAGACACACUUGGAACAGGUCGGUUCUUGACCAACGAAGAGCUCGAGAAGCUCAAAUUCCUUGAGGGUUUCUCGUAUUCUCUGGAAUUGGAAUCUGGGAUUUUAUGGGUUCGGGUCAUGAGGGCAGAGGAAAUGGAUAUGACCAUUGCUUUGCUGGCUGAGUCCUUUGCCGAGUCCAUGGUUUUGCCUACGGCUUAUGACACUCUACUUAGGUUCUUUAUAAAGCAGUACUUGAUCGAAAGAAGGGCUCUAAUGCCGCACGCUGUAACCCUCGUUGGGUUUUUCAGAAAGAAAAAGCAAGAUAAUGCCGGAGAAGAAGACGAAGAAGAAGAAGCAGAGGAAUUGGCGGGAACCGUAGAAGUCAGUUUCGACAAGAGGGGUGCUAAUACCUCUCCUCCCACGCCAACUCCUCCCAAGAAUGCGCCUUAUAUAUGUAACAUGACUGUUAAGCAUCAGCUUCGGAGGAGAGGAAUUGGGUGGCAUCUUCUGAAGGCAUCGGAGGAACUAAUUUCUCAGAUGAGUUCGACUAGGGAAGUGUACUUGCACUGCAGAAUGAUUGAUGAAGCUCCCUUUAACAUGUACAUAAAAGCAGGUUACCAUGUUGUAAAGACCGAUACCAUUUUGAUUUUAUUGAUGCUACAGCGACGUAAGCACUUGAUGUGCAAAAAGCUUCCAGUUGUAAUGAGCCCCGUAGAAUCCGAUGAGGAAUGGAGAUGAAUUUAACUUGUUUGCCUGAGAUGAAGGAUGUAGUUGAGUGAGAUUUUGACAAAUAUGGGGUUUGCUAUUGGAGUGGCAAAGUCGAAUUGGCAUCCAGUAAUUGUUGCUUGUAUCUAUUAUAUAGGUGGGAACCUGCUCUGUUGCAGAUUAUCAGCUGGAGUUCUCUUACACACCCUUCCAUGGACGGUCUCUCGCUGCUCUCAACUCUAACACACCGCGAUGCCAGAUUCGCAAACAUCGCUAUAGACUCCAUGGUGUAUGAACUUCGACUCAACUCUGGAUCUAUUACCUUCUUCAGCUUCUUUCUAUCAUUCAAUAUAUGCCUUACCUGGAAUGCAUCAUAACUUUCAUUGCUCAGAGUCUUGAAACUUGAUAGCCAAAUUUCAAAGAGUAAAAAAGUGAAGAGACUUUUCUAACCUGUAGAACAAGGUUUUGGUCGUUUGGUCCCAGGUUCAGGUCCACAGCCCGACGUCCAGUCAAUAAUUCCAGAAGAACCACUCCAAAUGCAUAAACAUCACUUUGUAAAGUGAGCUUCCCUGUCUGUCAUCAAAGCAAUGGACUUUUCACUGUUUUGGUUUAUUUGGAUUAGUAAAGAUAAAUAAGUAAGCAAGUCUUUACAAUUACAUGAUUCAAAUUCUGGGCAUAAAGUAUGGUAAUGCUUUUGACACUGUGCAUUAGUACAUAUUGAUGAGAACAUUUUGAAUUUGAGUUUGAGUCCACAGCCUGGGGGCCACAUGAUAUUGCUUGACAUGGGGUUUAAGGGAAAGAAUAUAUAAUAUUUUCAAACGUUCGUUCAUUCCAAAAGGACAUGUUUCACCUACAAUUGAAAUUAAAUGGUUGCUUAGCAAUGCAUACCGAUGUAUAUUCCGGAUCAAAAUAGCCAAAUGUGCCAAGCACCCUAGCU